rnacentral:miRNA from 1 species
UAAAUAUGAAUGUGAAUGUUCU